GACGAACGCUGGCGGCGUGCUUAACACAUGCAAGUCGAACGGAAAGGCCCUGCUUUUGUGGGGUGCUCGAGUGGCGAACGGGUGAGUAACACGUGAGUAACCUGCCCUUGACUUUGGGAUAACUUCAGGAAACUGGGGCUAAUACCGGAUAGGAGCUCCUGCUGCAUGUUGGGGGUUGGAAAGUUUCGGCGGUUGGGGAUGGACUCGCGGCUUAUCAGCUUGUUGGUGGGGUAGUGGCUUACCAAGGCUUUGACGGGUAGCCGGCCUGGGAGGGUGACCGGCGUCAUGGGGACUGAGAUACGGACCAGACUGCUACGGGAGGCAGCAGUGGGGAAUAUUGCACAAUGGGCGGAAGCCUGAUGCAGCAACGCCGCGUGCGGGAUGACGGUCUUCGGGUUGUAAACCGCUUUCGCCUGUGACGAAGCGUGAGUGACGGUAAUGGGUAAAGAAGCACCGGCUAACUACGUG
rnacentral:rRNA from 1 species